GGGCGGUUAGCUCAGGGGUAGAGCACGUCCUUCACACGGACGGGGUCGGGGGUUCGAAACCCUCACCGCCCACCA
rnacentral:tRNA from 4 species